UCUGCCUAUAUAUUUUCAGAAACGUAUAAUUUUAUAUAUAUAUAUAUAUUACACAUUAUAUAUUAUAUAUAUAUAAAAUCAAACUCAUUCCUGGCCAAUCACAAGCUCAUGGAGGCAGGACUUCAUUUAAUACCCAUAUUUUAUGGUAAUGCAUUGUAGCAGAGUAGUGUUCUCCCAAUUUUAAGAUGCUUGUAUGGCCUGUUCUUGAUACAACUGCUUGACAGGGAUGGGCGAUAUCUUUUCGUUUGUGAUAUACUGGUAGAAAUUCCAGCGAUAAUAACGAUUAAGCGUAGUAGAUGACGUUUUUUUUUUUUGCGUGACGGUCUGCGACUCAUUCACAGCUCACGUGCAGAGCGAAAACAUGUAUGGUGGAAGGCGUACGUGAAGCUGAGGAGGAGUAUCGCUAAACGAUGAGCUAUCUCUACAAUCUGGAACUGGUUUGGUUACAGAAAAUCAGCUUUAUUUUUAGAUCAAUGUUUGUGUUUCUGAGGCUCUCAAGAUCACAGCUAUCACUUGUAGCCAAAAACAGUGGUGCAUGGUACUAUAUUUAUAUCGUAUAUAAAAGAUAUUUAAAUUUAUUUUAAUAAUAUGAUUAAAAUAUAUUUUCAUACUUUCUAAAUAAAUAAUACAUAAAAUAAACUGUAUUGUUUUCCCUCUGGAACUAGUGGAUCUGAAUCAUGGCACCAAAUACCAUAACAAAACAGAGCCAAAAAAUUUUCCUUUAAUUUGUCACCCAUAUGUAAUUUAACUCCAGGAUUAAUCCCAGGAUUUGAAUGCAGGCUUUUCUUGCACACUGAGGGACAUUUCAGAGCAAGCCUACAGAGAAGCAGCAUCUCAGACCAGUUUGUGAGUGUUAUGUGGCGGCGAAACCGUGUCAUUGUGCCUAGCUCUCCUAAAACAUGCACACACCCACACACUGUUCUGCAAGCGUGAUUUUCUAUGUAUAAACUAGAGGACGGAAAUAUUGUUAAGAUACUUCUGUGUUUUACUCCAAAUGGAACUCCUGUGCUCUCACACUUUGGAACGAGGUCAACUUCAGGUUUCCUGGCUCAGCAGAGACAUGCCUCACACCCCUCUUGAGCAAACAGGCAGUACCUCCAGGCCUGGAAAAUGGGUUCCACUGGAGGAAAGUUACUCAGAUUACACUCAUGUUCUCUCUCACAACAACAUGCUCCCUAGUGGAGGAAGUGGAACUCAGCCCAUCUUUCCCCACAAUGACAUAUUACCCAUGGAAAAAUUCACACUUGAAUGCACACUCUCACUUGCCUGCUCCCUUACACACAAACACACAUUUCCCCUAUUGGUUUGAACAGCUUUUUUCAGAGCUUCUAGGGAAAAAUGGUGCCUAUUUUCCAUGUUUGUCAUAACAUGUUGAAACCAAUCCACAGGAACGGGUUUGUUUCCAGACAAUGAAUUUCCAUUUAUUAGAGAAGCUGCUGCGUCAUGGAGACAGUGCAGGGGAGGUAGCAGUAUUCAUUCAAAAUUUACCCAGCCUUCUUGGAGGACGCUCCGUUCCUCCUAAUAAGAUCCACAGUGAUAAUUGUUUUUCCAGCUCCGCUGAGAUGCAGAGCAGCCUCCUGGUGCUUCCUGUUGUGUUUGUUUGCGUAGUGUGUUCCCCACCACAGUGACUUUCCUGCCUCCACCCUCUGGGUUUUUUUUUUAAGGCCCUGUCUGGUAACUUCUGGUAAUGAGGUCUGCAGGGAUCAAACCUGGUUGGGACUUCAAUGUGAAAGCUAUCAUGAUUUACAGCUAACAGCUAACGGUUCGCAAUUGACACGCAGCAGAAGCGCCACAUCGAGAAGGUCUAAAGAGCAGACUUUAAAUAGCAACAGAUCAGUGACAAGUAACUGAUGGGUUUGUUCACAACUUUCAUGAAACUGAAAGAGACUCUCCAGUGUAGGGUCUACUGUUAGUAUGAAAACAUGAUGUGUGUACAGACACAAAUGAGCCAAUACUGGAUGCUUACAACACAAGGAUUGUUAUACAGCAUUCACAUCUUCUCUUUUAGCACAACUCCAUACAAAGAUUGAAAUGUUAUUAUUUGACUUCAAAACGUUCACGUAGAACAUAGUGUUCUAUAUGCAACCAAACAGAUGUCUUAGCCUCAAUCUUAGGCUCGGUAUCUGUGACAUGGGCUAACCAUUCUUCCUGGCUGAUGUGUUUUACUGACACACAUUUCCAUCACAUCACGGUUUUGUAACCGUUGGUGAAGAUAUUUUGAAAUUUGUGACAUUUCGGAUCUACAGUACAGGCUCAGUAUUCUGGAGUUGUACAGUAGGUGCUGGUUCUGUGGCAAUGCCUAUACCAGUGAUGUCUAAGGACUCAGGGAUGUCAUCACUGACAUAACAAUUCAAGCAUACUAUUUACACUAUACAUGAGACCAACCUUUAAAUAAGUCUUGAUGUGACCUGUGUGGAACUGAAACAAUAAGCAGAAUUAACAUCUCAACUAUGAACUGAUCAUCUGAGGAAGAAAUACAACCAGAAGUACAACUCCAAAGUUGCAUUAGUAAACUUCCACUUCUGACUACAAAAUGGUUCUUUCUAAAUCAGUGAAACUGUAGAUUAAUAUAAAUAAAUAAAUAAAUAAAUAAAUAAAUAAAUAAAUAAAUAAAUACAAGGUUAUUUGAACCAGCACUGACUCUAGCACCAGCACCCUGUCUAUGAAAAAGGGGGUUCCUGUAAUCCCUCUGCCUAUUCUGUGUACUGUGAAGGGGAUUUCUCUUUAGAGGAAGUGGAUAGGUGUUACUGAGUUGUAUUGCUAAAGUCCACUGUCUGCCCGAAAGUAUGUGCAAGCAUUUUGACAGCUCUUAUAUAAAAGCAGCAGCUGUUGUGCCGUCUAACUGGGGUGAUGGAGGUGUACACACUUAACUGCAAACAUUAUUAAUACUAUUUUGCUCACUGUUUAUCUAUGUGUAAGCACUAGUGCCUAAAGAGACAUUUGAAAGCCGAUCAGGGGCAAAAAAGUAAAUCACAUCAUAAAGAAAAUCACAUCAUAAAAUCUACCAGUCGGCCUCUUUAAGAAGGCAAAAGCAUGUAGAUAUAAUUCCAUAAGCUUUUAGUGCCUGCGAUUUGGCUGAUGAUGUCAGUGAUCCCAUUGAAGGGGAAAUAUUCAAGCUCCGACUCACACAGGCAUUCACACUCCACUCUUAGGACAUAAACAGUCAAGCAGUGUGCAUUCAGUCCAGCGCAAAGUCUCUUUAAUCGCAUUCAGCCCCAUUCUUUAACAAAGAUUAACAUCUGUACUUUGUGUGUAGCUGGUUAUAGUCACUGAAAACUUCACACGCACUAGGUGUUGUGGAAAAAAUAGACGUAUUACAAACCAGUAUUAUGUAAGUAUAAGUAUUAUGUAAAAAUGAAUUAUUAUUUUAGUUGGCCAUAGUAUAACUAUAAACCUAAAUCAGUACUCCAUGUGCCACCGCAAAGAAUGCAUGCACUGGGUAGAAGAGCAUGAAAGGGCCAGACUAACACAGGCUCCCAGGCUGGAGGAGUUUCCAGUGUUCACAUAAAAUUGAUAAUGAGAUGUGUACGCAGCAGGAAUGGAAAAAUCUGAGGUUCCUUAUGAGGUUUCCACAUUCCUCCCUUCCUGCAGGCCAGACACAAAUGCUCUACAUCUGCUCAAGAGGUUUGUUUGUGUGUACUUAUGUGUACAGUGAGUGGAAAUAAAUUUCCAGACACUUUUGUUUUUGUUUUUUAAUAUACGUCCAGUGCACAUAUAGACUUCUAAAUAUAAGUGCUGCAAAAAAAAUAUUCCUGAAUGGAAAAAGCUACAGUCAUAGCAAAGACCUUACACAUCACUGGCAGCACAACUGGUUCGAUAAUAUGCCCGUGAAAGUUCAUGGAACCACAACCAGUCGUCCCUGGACAGGUGUGCCAUACAAGAUUUCACAACGUGCUCUCAGACUAAUGAUAAUGAAGGUAAGAGAGAAGGUAGCAGUCACUCGAAUAGCAGGACAACCUGAAAGCAGCAGCUACACAAAGAACUGCACCACAAUCAUCUCAGUUCCUGCACCUCACGCUAAACUCCUAUGCUAAAAAAGAGCACAGAGAUGCACGUCUAAAAUCAUUUAGACAAAUCAUAACUCUUCUGGGAAAUACACUCUGAUCAGAUGAAACAAAAAUAAAACUCUUUGGCAAUAAUUCUGAUCAUCAUGUUUGGAAAGGUUUAUGCGUAUGAUCCCAAGAACACCAGGAUACACAGAUCAUCACAGUGAAACGCGGUGCUGGGAGCAUCGUGAUAUGAGGGCUGAUUCUCUGCAAUUGGUACUGGGGUGAAGGAAAUAUGAAUGGAGAGAUAGCUGGAUAUAUUGAAGAAGAAUUUAAAUCUCAUCCACCAAGAAACUGAAUCUAUGGAGAAGAUGGAAAUUUCAAUAAGACAACAACACCCAAACACACAGCCAAAAUCACUCAAGAGCGCUCCAGAAUUGCAUCCUAUCAUAAAAAGCUAAAUACUUCUUCCCGUAGUCAUCUCCAAUCUGUAAAUAAUGUAGGAUCAUGAAGGAUGUAUUCAAAAGUAUAAAGUCAAAAGACAUUGUGUGUGUAAAUGUGAAAUAGAUAUACACGCUUGAGGUAUAUUAAACAAUAAAAACAAAAGGGUCUGAAUACUUAUUUCCCAUCACGGAGUGUGGGAGCAUAAAUGUGUCAUCACCAACAUAAUUGAUAUUCUAUUGGUGGCUAUCAUAUUUAUAAAUGUAAUAGUGCAAUAGUAAAGUACCCCAUUGUGAAUAAUUUAUGCAUUAGCACCUAGAAUGUAAAAAAUAUAUAUAAAUAAUAAAAUAGCUGUAUUCUUAUGCUGAGAACUUUCAUACACACCAACCUACGUACAACCCUUGCAAAAAGUCUGUCCAAAACAAUACAAUCUGAGCAUGGUGUCUCCUCCUCUUCUGUGGUGCUCCUUCUCAUUGUAACCUGGCUGGCCUUGACUGUUUCCACGGGCGAUAAACACAGACAGAAACCAAAUAAAGAUCUGGUUUCUCACAGUAGCCGAAAAGCUUCCUACGCUGCUUUUGUUUGGCGAGUCUGUUUGGGUGAUUGCAGAGGCAUAAGUGGCCAGCUCUCGUCUGUCUCUCUCUCUCUCUCUCUCUCUCUCUCUCUCUCUCUCCUCCUCCUCCCUCCCUCCCUGAGCUUGCUCCUAUUUAUUAACUCUGAGACAGUAAACUGUGAGCCUUGUACUUAGAGUGACCCUGAUACAUGUGAAGUGCAAAGUACUCUUACUACUCUUUUAGGUCUCUGGCUCAAGCUUUACAAUGGGUAAGACUUAAGUUUUGGCUUUUUUUUUUUUUUUCUUUACACAUUCAGGUUUCUUUAAUGGUCAGGUUUUCACAGAACUAAGUACCAAUGCCUUUUUUUUGUUUAAAGGUAUAGCACAAUACGUAUUGUGUCAUGUAACAUGAAAACAUAUAACAUGAACUUUUCUUAAUACCAUGUUCAAUAUACAGUAUGAUCAACAUCUUGCUGAAAGGAAAGCAGUAAAAAAAAAUAACUGUAGCUAGAAUUACUAUAUGUGCACUGUUACUAUAUGUGUAUGCAGUAUGUAAGUUUUUGAAUAAAAUAUUUGCAAUAUUUCAUUAGAUAUACUGUACACUACAUGUAUGUUUACUUCCUUCCUGUGAGCAUAGAGAGAAAGCUGUGUCACAGUGCCUGGCUGUCCUUGCUGUCAUGUUUGAUGCAGUGUGUGGUCAGACCGGAUGGCACUGUAAUAAGAAGUAUGAUGCUAGCGGCGGUUUCCUAUUUCCUUCUCGCUGUUCCCCCACACACUUGCACCCCCUGUCUCUCCUUCCACACACUCCACGCACACAUACCCCCUGACAGCAGCACUCAAAGACUCCUGCGGUUUUUAAAUAGAGCAGCAUUGCCUUGUCCUUGGCAACCCACAACUCCCACCUCUACUCCUGAGCUGUGACUUUUAUUUAUUCCCUUAUUCCAUCCCUACUUCGUCCUUCUUUCUGACUCGGCCAGUUGUAUCUUGCUCCUUUCAGUGACUAAAAAUACUGCCACAGCCUUUGUCCUGCCAAAAGUGGUGUGAGGCAUGGAAAAGAAAAAUACUUCAAUGUAAUUAGAGCAGUGCAAAAGGACAGAAUGGGGCAAAUUCACUUCACCGUCUUUUACACCUUCACCCAAAAGCUCAUUUUACAAUCAAACUUGGAAGGAGAAUUCUUGGGAAGGAAAAAAAAAAAGUCUUAGAAAUACAAUGAGUCCAUGAUGAGAAUGAGUCACACAAACAAGCUUUAUAAUUUAAUGGCACAAGUCACCAGCCUGGUGAGUAAAGCCAGCUCUGUUUUUUUCCAGUCUUAAUGAUCAGGGCAGCAGAUUUUCCUGGAACUAAAGGAGAGAUGGGUGAGGAGCAGAUGGAAAGUCAGCCAUUCCAGAGUGCUGCAGGCUUGAGCACUGAAAAAUGCUGAGGUGAGAGUAAGACUGACCUUGAUUUAAAAAAGAAUAAUAAUAAAUCAGUGUGGGUUGUGUGAUGGUGAACAAAGCCAGCAGUGCAAUAGCAUACAUUCAAUCAGGGUUGUAAAAUGUGCAUUUUAGGUUAUAUUUUGUAACUGGCUUGUUGAAGGAAUGUGCAUGGUUUGGCAACUGACAAUAUUAUAAACUACAGUAAACAAAAUCAGGAAAAAUUCCAUGUGUUCAUUUAAUAGCAUGACAAUUGAUUGAAUUGACUGUGACAUAUCUCAUAUCUGUGCUAUAAUUGGCUUACUCACAGGCAGCACGCUGAUCGGAUGUUUCAGAAGUCACUCAACACCAUAGCAACCAUCCAACAAAUCCCCAUUUGCUGGAAUUUUUUAUUAUUUUUUUUUAAAUGUAACAUUGUUAGGGUGGUUUUAUCCAGCUCAUCUUUCCACGAGCUGAGGUGUUCAUAUUUGGAGCUUAUUUACUCCUGCUACUAUAAGAGCACACUGCACCGCCAUCUCAGAAUUAAAGUAUUCUUCAUUCUAUAGCCUAUUAUAUGUAUUUUAAUGCAAUCAAUAAGAUACCAGAAAAAAGAACUACUGGUUAUGGAAAUUCUACAGAAUAACUGAUGACUAUUGCUACAGCUCUAACUUUCCAUAAUAAAAAUGAAGUCAGGUGAGCCUAAGAUGUUUAUUCGGCCAUGGUCAUGUGCAUCUACACUUUGGUGAGCAGGUUUCCUCACGUCUGGAGGCUGACAGGAAAAUACAUAGCCUAGGCCAGGGAAGACAGGUGGGCUCAACUGCAGGCUGACUGUUACACAGUGGAACUAAGCCUAUUUUCCUGGCUGCUCUUCCAUGCUCUCUUACAGCUCUGCAUGGAGUCUAGACCCAGUCCUGUACACCAAAUUCCACUUGUAUUCCUCCCAAAAAUGGGUUAUUUGCCAAGACCAAAUGCCCUUUCACCUGAGGGAAAGCCAGAUGCCUCACCCCAUGCCUUAGUUUCAUCCAAACAAGAGGCUUGUUUUUUUUAUUCAUUCUUUUCAUCAUCAAACCUGGGGUAGUGUCGGUGGACCAUCUGUGAUAGAGGUCCUGGGGCCUACAUGCCUAUCUGCCCAUUUCCUGAGCUCAGCCCACUCACUGGACCUGGCUACUGUACUUGCCAGUUAAAAAUGUGCAAAAAUAAUUUUUUUAUGUCAUAAUAAUUGCAAGAUUUACCAUCAUGGCUUCUUACUAAGAAAGCAGGUAAUGAUCCAUAAUCUCUCUUCUACCUCCAUUCUCUCUUCCUACAGCACGUAUCUGCUCCCUACCUUGAAGAAGAACAAGCCCACAAUUGGACAGAAGCUAGGCGUUUUGUCCCUUCCUCCUACAAAGGAGCUGGCAUAGGUCUGGGCUCAACAGAAGGCAUGGAGAGCUUAUCCCAGCAAGAGUUCAGGCCACAAACACACUCAGUGACUCGCAGGGAAGGAAGGAGCCUGGUUCAGCUCUGUCUUAACAGCAAUACACCUCCACAGUCCUCUGGCAUGGGAUUUGUUAGAUUUGGGUCACAAGCCCCAGCAAGUAUGAUUCUCCGUGUAUUUGCGACCAACUUAUUAUGAAGCUGUGCUGGUUUUCAACAGAUUGGCUAUAAUUUGGCUUUAAGAACAACUGCUACUUUGAUAAUAACUGAUACGUUACACUGUAAAGUGAUGAAUACAAUAUGUACACCACUCAAUUAUAUGCUCAUCUUGAUGUCUUUAUGAGAAUUUGCUUGGGAAAAAAUGGUUUUAACGUUGUAUUUUUAGAACAGAAAAUGUGUAACUGUGACCAAAAUAAAACAGACACUUAAAGCGAACCAACUGCCUAAAGCUGGUGAAGAAGACAUGACCAUAUCUCAAGUGACUCCUACACUUCCCACAGCAUAGCAAAAGUACUAUUUUUCUGUCCAAGUGUAGGCGUUAACAGGUUGGUUAAAACCAUAAUAUAAAUAGUCACAUGUAGCCGCAUCAAACGACAAAAAUCCGAUAUUUGACUAAUUGACUAUGUUAGUUUAGUUGUUUAUGUGAGAAUGUGUUAAAAGCAUCAUUUCUUAUAACAUUUAUUUGGAGUCUGAGGUGACUGUCUGUGUUAGUGUUGGGUAAGAAAAGUUGAUUUGAGAUCUUUCCUCAAAUAGACCUAAUCGAUAACACAUUCAGCAUGAAAUGGAAGUGAGUAUUAAGAAAACAGGGAGAUAGAAUAAACACCGAUGUGUUGAUUACCUGUCACAUGGCCCAGCUGGUCUGAGGUCUGUGUAAACAGUCAAAUAUUCUAACAUGAAAAGUCCUGAGAGAACUACAGUGAGUCAACAAAUGGUGCAAUCUAUGAUAAAGUGGGGUGAAAGUGUGUGUGUGUGUGUGUGUGUGUGUGUGUGAGAGAGAGAUAGAGAGAGAGAGAAGGGGAAAAGGUUAUUUACAUUAAAUUAUGUGAAUUUAGCACACUUUAUUUAUUUAAAUAAUUCACUGGCCAUGGUCUUUAAAAGGAUCAUGUGGUGCGACCAUGAUUUAGCCACCAAAUAAUAUAUUUCCUUAAUAUGGUAAAAAAAAUUUUUACAAAGUAUUAGACAUAACUAUGCAUUACUUAUGAAUUUCAGUAAGUCAGCAACAUACAUUUGUCUUGUAACUAAACCGCUUCCCAAUUUAUAAACUUUACAGACUUGUUACCAACAUAAAACGAAUUGUACAAGACUAAUAUUCACUUGAGCAUAGUGUGUCAAUUAAUAACAUUAGCCACAGAACCUACAUUUCUUAUUUUGAAUUGUAAUAUUCUUAUUGCAAUUACUGCUUAUGCCACAUGAUGGGUGAUCACACCAAAUGAUGAGAAGAGCAUGCAUGGUGUUAAAGAACACGCAAUGAGUGUUAAAAUCACUUUCUACUUUCCAUGGAUGGAGGUGUAAAGUCUAACACAGCCUUAGCCAUCUUUUUUCUCUCCCUGUAACUUGUGGAUGCAGCCCUCCAUUUCUCUUUCUGCUACUCCCUGCCUGUCUUUAGCAGGUCACUAUUCUUCACUGAUAGCUAAAACAAUAGCAUACAAUGUUUUGACGUAAAUUAGAUAUGAAAGAGGCCAAUUAAAAUGCAUGGCAUGAUAGAUAAGAACAGAAGCUGUGCCCAUGUAAUGGAAAACCAAAUUCAUCUUGCGUUUUUGAAACAAGAGGUUGACGUAUCAUGUAAAACAUUGUUAAAGUUUCUUUCACCCCCAAUUCAUACAGUCAAUACAGUAUAUGGAAGCUAAACUGCAAAAACAGCCCUUCAAUUAUUCAUAUGUUGUGACUCAUGUAUAAAUCACCUUUUUUUCAUGACAAUAGCAGGUCAGUCCCACCUAAUUAAGAUGAAACGAUAAUGAAUGUUUCAUCCUAUCCCUAGCGUAAUACAGAACAACUGUCUGAACCAUCUGAAGGUGUUUAUUAUAUACUGAUCACAAAUUCACAGUAAAAAACAAACAAACAAAAACCCAAUAGGAUUUUCACGUAGGCUUUUGGAUUAUCACAAAAAACAAUCUCUGUGAUCCACAAACGUUUACAAUACUAACACGUUUUGACCAUUAAGAUAAUUUUCAAUAAUGAAGACAACUUUUAUGAAGUUUGAAGCCUAAAUACGAUCCCCAGAAAUAAACAGCUAACCGUACACUAUAAACAAAUUACACCACGGUCGCUCGACUUCAACGUCACCAUCACCAAGCUUCAGACAAAUUUCCAAACUUGAUUCAAAAACAUUUUCCACAAUACGGAUUUACUCUGUGAAUGAAUCUUCAUCCACCUUUUUUUUUUUGGUAAUUGUGCACAGCACACCUGAACCAGUUUAUCUGCAAAGACGUUUCCUGUUCGGCGUGAUGACGUUUAAUGUCCCUGACAACAUCUGUAGUCCCAUUUAGCAACAUGUUAGUGUCAUGAUAUUCCCUCGGCCAAGCGCUGGAGCUGGCAUCGUGCUCUGAAACCCGAAGCGAAGCUCACAGCACAAGCGCUAAAAUGCUAACUAAUUUCUGGGUUUUGGCAUACAAAAUGACGUCAUCCCCGUGCCACUCUAUGGUUGUAAGUGGCUGCAAGUUUAGGAAGCGCUUGAUUUGAUAUGCAGCACUGUUUUCUAUGAGCGGAGGAUGAACUUUAAACAUCAAUAUCACAGUUGAUCAUAUUCAUGUAAUUGUGGGCAGUCAAAAUCAUAAUUGAGAUCAAUAUUCGAUUAAUUGUGCAGCCCUAGUUAGAAGAGUUCUCAUCAUAAUCAGCCAAUUAGAAAUAUAAUACGGCAAUGUUAACAUCGUAUGUUUUUUUUUAAAUAUAUGUCAAACCUUUCUUUUCUUUUAGCAAGAUACUCAGCUCUUGCUUUAGGAUCAGAGUUAAUCCACUGCCUGUGGCAGACAGUUUUUUCUUUGCUACUCAGUUGCAUCUAGACAACAGUUUUCUGUUUUCUCAUAAAAUUGUACAGAAUAUAAAUAAAAUAUUUGUCUACAAAUCUGGCUUGAAAUUGCAGGAGAAAGACGUAUGUAUUACAGACAGUGGUCGCACCACAUGAUUUUUGGUCACACUACAUGAUAUUUUCAAGUUUCAAUUAAAGUCUAUUAUAAAAUCUGUAAAAGAUAUAGAUUUAUAGAUAUAAUUUCGUUUUCAUGAGGUCUUACCACAUGACAGCCAUAUAUAUGGCAACUAUAGAACAGUCUAACAAACUAGAUCUAGUCUAAACAAGACUAGAUGUUUCCAAGGAUCAUUGGCAAAUUGUGCUAUGAAGUGACUUUUUGUCAUUGAAUUAUUUUCAGUAUAAAAGUCUCAAAAUGGCCUUUUCAUGAUGGUUGCACCAAAUGAUAUUUCAUAAAAUACAUGACCUCUAACAUCACAGUGAAUUAUGAAACAGCUAUAAAUGCUUUGCAGUUAUGUUCACUAAUGUAAAAUACUUUUGAAAUUAUACUAAAUAUGGCAAAAUUGAAAUAUACAAAAAUGUAGUGUUAAACAAGUUUUCAGAAUUGCACUAAUAUUAAGGCAGUUACACCACAUGAUAAUUUGACUAACUAAUAAAAGAAAAAUGACCAAUACAUAUUGUGUACAUAUAUGAGAGCUAAUAGAUAUGUAUGGUGUUUUGUUAUGCAUUUGAAAGUCAGAAAAUCUCUGUCAUGUCAUCAACUGAAAUAUUUUAGUUCCUUAUAUGCUACCAAAGCCUAAAGGAAGUGCUCACUGUUAACUUUGAAGAAAUCCAAAGCAAGUGGCAAGGUCAGUAUAACUCUCUACCAAUCCCCAACAUAAAAUAAUCAACAGAGCAGAGGGUUCUGAUAACAGAGACAGAAGCAUAUGUAACACGCUCACACACACACACACACACACACACACACACACACUAUUAACAUUAGCAUUUACUUCAUCAAAUAAUAGUAACCAGGAAAAUAAGCAGAAGCAAAAUCUGCUCACAAUUACUUCUUGUUCUACUGCCAACGCAGAGUAGUAGAUGAAGAAGUAGGGAUGUACCUUGUAAAUGAGAGUCAAACUGCAAUCUUGUGCAGUGGUAGGUGUGCCAAGUGGCUAGCACCUUCUGCUAUUCAUUACUUCUGUGCUUACAAGCUCCUGCUUGCAUGGGUAUUUACGUUGUAUAAAAGAAUGCAAGUAUUGUGUAAUAAUAAAUAUAGCUGGCAUGUUAAGAGAUUAAGCCCUACCAAGUUGCAAAUGAACUCAAAGCUUGUUUGUUAACAUAUGUCAUGGUGAUACACAUAAUUUAUAGAACAUAAUAUUUUCUGUAUACAUGUAUAUAUGUGUGUGUGUGUGUGAGAUAUAUAUAUAUAUACAUACACACACACACACACACACACACACACACACACAUACAUACAUGCAUACACACACACACACACACACACACAUACCUAUACACACACAUACAGGUGCAUCUCAAAAAAUUUGAAUAUCAGGGAAAAGUUUGUUUUUUUCUGUAAUUUAAUUUAAAAAGUGGAACUUUUAUAUAUUCUAGAUUCAAGCCUUUUUUUGUUUUAAUCUUGAUGAUUACGGCUUACAGCUCAUGGAAAUCAAAAAUCCAGUAUCUCAAAAUAUUGGAAUAAAGAAUUUAUAAUACAGAAAUGUCCACCUGAGAAGAAGAGCUCUAAUCAGAUCAUUAACUCAAAACACCUGAAACAAAACUCUUAGUGAGAAUUUAAUCUCUUAGACAUAUUGCUAUUUGCACUUCUGGUUAGAUGCUAACUACAUUUCAUGGGCUCUGUACUUGUACUCUGCACAAUGACAGUAAAGUUGAACCUAAUCUAAUCUCAUCUAAUCUAAACAAUUUAUGCUGUUGGGCGACUGUGACUCAGGUGGUAGAGCGGGUUGUCCACUAAUCGUAGGGUUGGUGGUUCGAUUUCCGGCCCACAUGACUCCACAUGCCGAAGUGUUCUUGGGCAAGACACUGAACCCCAAUGGCAAGUUAGCGCCUUGCAUGGCAACUCUGCUACCAUUGAUGUGUGAGUGUGUGUGUGAAUGGGUGAAUGAGACACAGUGUAAAGUGCUUUGGAACCACUAAGGUUAAAAAAGCGCUAUAUAAGUGCAGACAAUUUACCAUUACACAUUCAGUGCUUGGGUCCCUAAUCAUAAUAACAAUUUCGUUGUUUUUGUUGUUGUUGUUAGAUCUGAACAUCAUGUAAGAGUUUAGAAAGCAGAAAGAGCAACCAGGACAAAACAACUCAGCUUGUUUAAUGCAUCCUGUCAAAUCCCUCAAAACUCUGGAUGAGGUCUUCAACGCUAAGCAGACACCUUCCCUACACUUGAUCCUUAAAAUGAUUCUAGGUAAGCCAGAGAUGCUGCAGACACACAGCGAUUAUAUGAUGUCUGAGAAUUUGUGAUUGGAAAAGGUUUUAGCUCGAUUGGCAGAAGAGGCAGGUUUCAUUCCACAGCUACAGUAUCAGACAGGAGGACUGACUCUCCCUCUUCCAGCCCCACAGGCAGACAGGCAGUGCAAGAAAAGGAAGGGAGUGAGGAAACAACUCACUGUCUUUCAAGGUCACUGUAAACUCAAUGCCAGGGCUACCCCAUGUUUAUAAGACUUAGCGUGGGCUGGCGAGACGUGCAUGUGCGCAUGUGAAUGACUCGAGUGGCUGAAUUAUAUGCAAAAUAGACAAGAAAAGCGUCUCAACAAUAUUCCAUGCACUUUUAAACUAGCUGCCGUUCUUAAAUGGGAAUAGGCAGAGACAUCAACUCAUAUUUAGAGUUGUUAAGUAUGUAAACUAUAACCUUGUCUAGGCCCACUGCCCAGUUCCUGGUGUUCCUGGUGUUUUCAUGUGUGUUCAUCAGAUAUCAUGUCAUCAUGUCAUAAACUAUUCCAGACUGUAAUAGCACCUGCCAGGACAGUUUAGAGAGGACUGAAACAAAGGAGAUCUAUCCUGUAUCAUCACUGUCCUGUGAGGGAACUGACAUUUCCUGGCACAUGGAGCAGAUGAACCUGAAAAACAAACUGUAUCAGAGACUAAAAUCUCUGUGCUAUGAUGUUUGGUUGUUUCAGCUGUGCACUGUGCUCCUAGAAGUGCAGCAGGAGGAAACAGAAAGAGAAAGAAAGAAAGAAAGAAAGAAAGAAAGUAAGAAAGGAGGAAAGUGUUGCCCAUAAACCAGCAGUUUAACGUUUAAGUCUCUAAACACACUCACAGAGAGCAAGUUGUCUACGAUUGCCACUCCUUUCCUGCUUGUCAUUUCUGGUUAUGCCAUUCUGUCUGUUUUCACACCCACAGACUAACACAAGCACCACUCGUAGUGCGGCUGUAUAUACACUCAGAGAGUGAAAGAUUUGCCUUCAAAAAAAAAAAAAAAAAAAAAAAAAAAAAGCAGAUUACAUACCAGCCUGGCUUCACUGGCUCCUCAGUCAUCUGCUGCGUUCCUCGGUGCUUGCACUUCCUUUGUCCAUUUCGAGGGAGUCAAGAAUACGAGAGACGAAACUGCCUAGUGAAACUCCCAUCAAUCAGAAGACACUCGCUGAUAGAGCGUAUGCUAGGAGACCUACUGAUGUAAGCUAGUCACCAGAGAAAAUACCCAAUCGUGACGCAUAUCCAGGAACAAAAAUAGCACUGGGGCCCCUAGAGGGAUUAUACAACAGGCUACGUUCAGACACACUUUCAGCGCUCGGGCAGCCUCUUGCACUCUGCUGGUUCUGUUUGCUUGCGCAAAUGAAGUUUACAUUUUUGUGAAGCGAGACAUGACCGCAAAUAGACGAGAUCUAGGGAACGAAGCACAGACUGAAAGCGGCAUUUGAGUGUGUGUGUUUGUGCUUGUGUGUAUGUGUGUGUAUGUGUGUGUAUGUAUGUGUGUGUGUGUGUGUGUGUGUGUGUGUGUGGUUUAGACACAGUGCCUUAUCAGACCAAACUUUAACCAUAUGGCCUCAGUGCCUUUGACCUGGGGUUGUCCAUGGCAUGCCAAGCAGGGCAUAACAACAAGGCAACACUUCCUCUUCCUGCCCUCCCUCAUUUAUAGCUCUCCCUCAGCACUAUAAAUAGCUCACCAGGCCAACGUGUGCAAAAUUCCUUCACAGUUGUGCUUUCUCCUUUCUAUUCCUGGCUGGCUGGACUCUUAUAUGAUUGAUUUGUGGAUCACAGGAAUGUGUUGUGUAGGUGUUUGUGCAGGAGAGCGUAUGGGGGGGAAAGUAGCAGCACUGUGACACCAUUCAUACUAGGGUUACGAGAAUGAGUUUCUAACCAACGCUCCGCUGCUGAGGAUUUUCAUUCAUCUACAGUAUGUUAAUGCACUGUAUUUACCUUUAUCAUACUGUAUCUCACAGUAACUGUUGAUAUGGUGAUGUUCUGGUGUUGAGAUUUUAUUUAGCAUUUCAAAAGGAGUUUGUAACAAUCAGAGGUGAAACUGUAACUAAGUUUUCUGCCAUGUUCCAGAAAAACCUCUCAUGUCACCUUAAAACCUACUAAAAGAUCUGUUUUGUGUGCCAGUCUUGUAGAUUCACGGACACUUUCGAAUGUAAGGUCAGAGUUUUCGAUUUGUGAUGCGGCUCAUGACAACAUUCACAACGACGGUGGACGGUUUAAAGGGUUACAAGGCUCAUCAGUGUGUUUCUGUGUUUGUCGCUGUGCGUGAAAUCGCUAAACAUUUUACAGAUUGACUUAGAAACCUGACAGACAAGGAUGUUUUGGCUCUGACACACACACACACACACACACAAAAUCACAAGUUGAGUUUAAAACAUAUCACACCACCCAGUGUGGAUUAUGUUCCUACAACACGCACGGUGACGUUUUAUUCCUCAUGGACUAUUGUCUGAAGCUGGACGUGACAAAGGAACGAGCCGCACCGCCUAACUUUUUGAAAUCAAAAGUGUCAAGAAAUGCAAAAGAUUUAUUAGUCAUGAGUGACGGCAGUGUAGGAGUCACCAGGUAAUAAAACUGCAACUGAUUCAUACAAUUACCACGACACUCUUUCCACAAAACCAACUAUAUUUGCAAGCACACCGCUUUAGACCAGUGUUUCCCAACCGGGGUGCCAUCUAAUGAGAGCAGGGGUGGAGUGUAAAAAUCCUUCAAACAUUUCUAAAAUGCUGAAAUGUGUAUAAAACAUUUAAUAUAUAUAAUAAAUAUCUGAUGUCUGAAAUAAUAACACAGACACAGAAAUAAGACAAACACACACGCAUAAUAAUAAUAAAAAUAAAUUAUAUAUUAAAAAAAUUAGAAUUCCCUCCUCCUCGAAUCCCCUUGCUGACCUGUCAGCAGCACGUCAACAUCAGUAUGCGUAACAUAUGCGUGUGUUUUAUCCUAAUAAUUAGCGUGUGAUGAUGCAUGUGUAGUGCAAAAGAAUAUGGACAGAUUUCUUAAAAGAAAAGCUCCAGAUGCUUCUGGACCAUCAACUUCAUCCUCAUGUAGCUAACACUGUCCAGCAUUAUUGUUUGUGUAGGGUGCCACAAAUUUUAGAAAAUUUGUGAAUUAGAAAAGGGUGCUGUCGCUGAAAAAAAGGUUGGGAAAUACUGUUUUAGACAACUCGAGGUGAAUCAGACAACUUUCAUUCCCCUAUCAGCACUACAUGUUUGCUCCUGAGCUGUCAAAUGCAUUCUGCUGUUUCUUGUACAAUCCAAUUUUCACAGCUAAAUAUACGUGACCUCCCCUGACUGCCAGAGUGGAUGCUGUGAUCCCAUGUGGAUCUCUCACAAAGAGACUGUUGAAGAAAAAGAAAAAACAACCAGCGGUUCUGAUUCUCCAGGGCUCAUGUUCCCUGUCUAAGCAAGUCUUACUGUAAACAACAUCCCCUAGGGAAGUGGCUGUCACAAAAAAAAAAAGCAUGUGAUGCCUAAAGAGGAGCCCUAUAUGAUAUUGUGGUAGAGAGAGCUGAAAAUGGCACUGGAAACACAAUCCUUGGGAAAAAAAAAAAAAGAUACAAAGUUACUAAUACAUUAUGACUGUUAUCAGAGACAGAUAAAUUUGAUUGAUGAAGAUUUUUUGGAGUGAAAGGAAGUGUCUGGAAAAAGAAGAAAAAAUGAUAACUACAUGUUUGUCACACUCUUUAUGAUAGAAAGUGUCUUUUCUAAAAACUAAUUUCACUCCAUGCUUAAAUUAGCCUAGAUUUAAGGGCCAUAUGGCACCAUUUAUGGCGUACCAUGGACCGUUCCCAAUCAAUAUGUUUGGUGCUUAUUUCAUGUCAAAACCCCAUAAUUGAAUUUUAUCAUCAUUUUACAAUACGAAGAUAAAUCUACUUCUACAGCUCUGUGACUGGUCUGAUCCCAAACUCUUGUUAUAAUGUGCUUUAUGAUCAACUGUAUAAUAACCUGAGAGCGUAUGAGCUUAAAAUAACAACAAAACACAAAAUACGCUAUGUGGCCAAAAGUAUGUACACCCCUGACCAUCACACCCAUACUAUAUGUGGUUCUUCCCCAAACUAUUACCACAAAGUUGAAAGCACACAGAUGUAUAGAAUGUCUCUGUACGCUGUAGCAUUACAAUUUUCCUUCACUGGAACUAAGAGGCUCAAAGCUGUUCCAGCACGACACAAAGUGCACAAAGCGAGCUCUUCCAGACACGUGUGGCUUGUCUGUGUCCUGCACAGAGCCCUGACCUCAACCCCACUGAACACCUUUGGAAUGAACUGGAGCCUCCUCGACAUCCCAAAAUCAGUGCUUGACCUCAACCUCACUAACGCUCUUGUAGCUGAAUGAACACAAAUCCCCUUCCCAAAGCCUUUCCAGAAGAGUGGAGCUUAUUAUAACAGUAAAGGGGGAAUAAAUCAGGAAUGGAAUGUUCAACAAGGACAUAUGGGUGUGCACAAACUUUUGGCCAUAUAGUGUAUUAGAUCAGGUCUUUAUCUUCUCCAGGCCUUUAUCUGUGGUUUCUUAAUAUGAAAUAAGCACCGAGCGUAUUCACUGAAAACCACCGAAGAUGAAAUGCUAUGACUGAUGCUGCAUUUCUUCAUGCUCCUGCAAUAGCUCACCAUGUAAUAGAUCUAUCUGCUCUUCUAGCAAACAGACCUUCAGUACAUCUUUACUUCAUUAAUAUUUAAUCUUAAGUAUUGCUGUAAGCAUGUAGGAAAACUCUUUCUCAGUAACAAAGCACGGCCAUCAUACAGACUGCUGAAAUGAGUUCACAAGUAAUAUAUUGGGUUUUUCAUUCGUUUGACUGUUUUUAUGACUGACACAUCACAUGUUUUAUACAAAUGUAAUGUAAUGUUGCAGUUGUCCGACAUCUCUUCCGAUAUUAUGUACAUUAGCAAUAGGGCACAGAUCAUUACAUCUUAGCUUAGCAUAUUGUAAUUAGCUAGCGACACUGCAGAUUAGCAUAAUGAUAGUCGUUGCUAUGAAUCAUGAUUAACUAUUUCACCAUAACUUAAUUUACACGUAAUACACUGGAAGUGAAUAACAGAACUGCUUGUUCUAGAAGGUUCAAACCACGCAUUUUACAAGGAAUGGUGCUCAUGUGAAGCUAUCACAGCUAGCCAGCUCUACUAGCAGACUCACACCAAGGAAUUUGAACUGAAUUGACGCUCCCUCAUCAAACUCACUCCGGAUGACGCACUACAUGUGUUCCAGAUAAAAUCAGGAAUGUACCUCUUAUCUGGAUUCUAUAUUUAUACCAUUUGUGCUGGAAUGAAUAAAUGAAUGAAUGAAUGAAUAUACAUUAUUCACCAACUGUUAAAAGGAAUAUUUCUCGGCAAUACUUGGCUGAGAAGCAGUGUUGCCAUGGCAAUUCUGGCAAUGCUGACAGCGAUGGCCAUGUUUGAACCUAUUUGGAGAGUUUCUGUGAAAAGGACAUGGCAAACAAAGUUAAAAGCAAUUCAUGUGCUGCUUUCAGAAUAAGCAGCCACUCGUCUUCCACUGUUGGGCUUUUCAAGGGGAACAUAAAUGUACUGUACAUAUGGAGGCAAAAUCUCAAGUAAAGAACAAGGUAUUGAGCUUUUUGAUGCAAGUUUUACUUGACUAUACAUAGAUUUAAUAUGCGCACUGAGAAUAUAGUUUCCCUCAUUCUAUUAAAGUUGCACAUGCAGAGCAUUUUCUAAUUAUGACAGAAGGCAUUCCAGAAUGUAUAUAUAAUAGUUGCAUCAGGGCUCCAGAGUGGUAUCACACUCUAAUCCUAGCGAUGCUACAGCCAUCCGAGGCUGGGAGCCAAGGGAGCAGAACAUACAGACCUACAGUACAUAUUCUUGAUAUCUAGUGACACUGCAAAGUCCUAUUUGUUAGCAUCAUCAUAGGCAAGGCUAUCAAUUAUGGGGGUGGUAACUGGCCAAAAUGGUAACCAAAAUGGGGAUUUCACAAAUAAUAGUUUGAUACCAGUCAAAAUAUACAACAUCCAAAAUGGCUGACAUCUUGCUGAGCUAAUUCAUGGAUGAGGUUGUGAAUUUUGCUUGUCUUAAGAAAACAUGUAGCUCAAAUGGGUGCCAUAUUUGGUGCAUAGAGGUGAUACUGGAUGCCCAAGCCCCAAGGCCUCACUAUCGGCACAUACCAUGAACCACACAUUUUAAAUUUGUCCCACACAGCAUGAUGUUCAGUGCAAUUAUGUUACAUUUCCUGUCUGAGCGUUAAGUUUUUUUUGUUUGUUUGUUUUUUUAUCACCUCACCAUGGCAACACCAUGCAAGAUAUCAGCAUUGACUAAGCAAUUCAUCAUUAUGCAUUAUAUCUUCACAUCAUGCUGAAUAAAUCUAGUAUGACUCAGAUAAACCCAAUGGAAGGAGUAUUAAAACGUUUGGUCUAUAAGCUUCACUUUCUGUUGCCGGUUGGAGGCAGUAUGAAACCGAAUCACUACUGGCAUGUGUGUGUCCCCAUGCCCCAUCACUGAACAUGUAAUGUUAAAUUUUGGGCCACGUUGUAAGAUACAGUGGAAUUAUGCCUCACUUCCUGUUGGUGUGGUGUAACAUGUUAGUUGAUUGUCUGUCUCACUAUGGCAACGAUAUCAUGUCUAAGAUAUCAGAAAGUCCUUCACAAUUUAACAUCAUGGACCUCUUUGCAUCAUAUUGACCAAAUUUGUUUUGAAUCUCAUGAAUCCUCCAGAAAUUGUUUAAAAGUUUAAUACCCAUCAAGACACACAAAAUUCAAAAUGGCUGACUUCCUGUUGGGUGGAGUUAAUAUUAAGAAUAGAUGCAUUAACCAAGUUACUUAAGAGAAAGCACCUGCAGUAACAUAAAAAUGUGUAAGGGUGAACGAGGACACAUUUGAAGGAUCUUUUUUUUUAAUGAUUUCUUUUCUAAAUGUACAUUUUAUUUUAAUUCAUCAUUAGCAUAAAAUGUGCCAUACAGAGACCAUUGUGUCUUUGUGACAGAUUGCUUCUAACCUCGAUCACACAAGUGCUACUUUCGUAUCAUGAAAUUGACCUCUUGAUCUUAGCAAACCCUGUAGUUUUUUUUUUUUUUUUGUCAUCAGAUGGCCAGGAGCAAGCAUUUGGUAAAAGCAAUCACUCUGCAACUGCUCAAAAACAAACAAUCAAUCUCUUAUGUGAGCAGCGCACAUUGGAGUACAAGGAAGUAACUGACCUCUCCGGGAUUCACUUUUGCCUGUUACACAACCUGCUGGUGCUGUGUUUUCCUCUGGAGCAGCUGUCUCUCAUUUCAUCCACGGGAGUGGAAAAAAAACAUUCUUGGUCAGGUACCAAAGAUCACACCUCCCCUGAAAAUUCCCAUCAGUCCAUGAACUCUCAUGUUGCCCUGUGGCACCUGUUACUUUAGAAGCCAAGCAUACCGAGGCUGAGCUACUCCUUGGCCUUUGACCUCUCCAACACAACUACUCCAACACCCACACAGCAUUCAGUGAUCACCCAAAGGAGCACAACCAUAUUUAACCUCAGAGUCGGAUCAGCUGGUCAUUGCCAGGAAUGAGGACCAGGGGCUUCCCAAACAGACAAACACCCCCUGUUCCAGUGAAUGCCCCACAAAUGCCUCCAGCCCUAAAGCAUGUGAAGCCUUGGGUGACUCCUACAACAGCAUAACAAACACAGCACUAUGCUUUAGUGCACAGUGAAUAACUCAAGUUUUUCCAUGAAUACCACCUCUUAUGUGGUGUCCAAAACCGGAUACAAAGUUCCACUGGAUCACCUGCGGCCAUGCAAAAUAAAAUUUGGCAAAUUCUCUUUUUCUGCUUCUGAAUGAACCAGCAUAUUAAAAAAAAAAAAAAAAAAAAAAAAAACACUAAAACAAAGGACUGGAUGGGAUUUAAUCUUUAGCUAUGCCAUUCUAUAAAACACUGAUCAUGCAUAAGAUUUAACUGCUUUUAAUAUAUGUGAUAAUUAGAAGCACUUUUUUCAAUUAUUGUUACUUGUGUGUUUACUUGUGUGCUCCUGGACUCAAGGACACUUUCCGGACAACCCCAUGGACUUCCCCACCAUUCCAGACAUGCAUGGACUUCCAGAAACCAUUCCAGAUUGUUUGCGUUCUAGUUCUAUUGUUUGCGUUUUGCCACAUACGUGGUGGCAAAAGUGACCAUAGCAUGAAGUCCAAAAGAAAUGCUUGAGUUUAAAACACACGGUGUUUCUUGUUUAAAUUAAUGUGCAGUUUAAUCUUAAAGGAUUACAUAAAUAAUGACAAAUAAGAUGAUAUAACAAAAAGAUACAACUUCUUAAAACUUAAAAAUGAUGUAAAGAUUUUAAUUAAUUCAAUUUUAUUUGUAUAGCGCUUUUUACAAUAGACAUUGUCUCAAAGCAGCUUUACAGAAAUAUCAACAUGGUAUACAGAUAUUAAAGGUGCGAAUUUAUCCCAACUGAGCAAGCCACUGAGUGGCGACGGUGGCAAGGAAAAACUCCCUAAGAUGUUUUAAGAGGAAGAAAAUUUGAGAGGAACCCGACUCAGAAGGGAACCCAUCCUCAUCUGGAUUAAAGAUGUAAAUAUCUGCUGUCCUUAUCAUAGUCUAUUCAGGAUUACAAAAGUGUCUGAAAAUGUUUUCAAAAGCAUGACAGUUACACAGUUACAAAGUACACAAGUACUUGGUGAUGAUAACUUUUACAUUUGACUUUUAGCUAGGACAGUGAAAGAGAGAGAAAGAAAGUGGAAAAAGUAGAACUGGGGAUGCCUCCACCUCCAACAAGUCUAGUCCUUCUUGUUACUAAUGUGCAUGCCUGAAAUUCCCACAAAAUACACUACAAACAUGGAAGGAAGCUAUUGAAGAAAAACUAUUUCAGACAGUUGACCUUGCUGUGAACUUGACCCUAUUUGGAUGAAUGAAAAACUCUAACCAGUUCACCUGCUGGUUACAACAAUAAUUCCACAUAAACCCUACAAGUAUUCAAGCAUGUGCUCUUGAAAUAUCUCGCUAACAAGAAUCUCAGUUGGACGACUGGACAACUCACUCUUAAGACCACUUUGCUUGCGGUCACCAACCAUCUUCCUUGAGAUCUACAGUACCUUCCUGUAGGUUUCUCCAAGCAAUAUUAAGGAAAUGAUUAGAUGGUCAGGUGAGCACGAUUAUGGUUGGAGUUAAAGUCUUCAGGAUGGUAGAUCUCCAGGAACAGUGUUGGUGACCGCUGGCGUAGAGCAUAUUCUCCAUUUUCAACGUCCUCUGGUUCAACAUUGGUUUCUAGCCAACCCUCAUACUGAAUCCACAUCACAGCUCUGAUUUUGAAUUUUUUUUUUUCUGGAUGAGCUACAGUAGGCUGCAGUCUCUAAUAGGUUGGCGAACAUACAUUGCUUGCCAGUGGGGAAUAAACAAGGAACUGUCAGUGAAGUGUGCUACCAUAGAUAUCAGAGGAAAUGCAAUCUUCUCAUGCAACAGUGGCCUGGUCACAAGUUCUCCCCCAGAGCACGCGUCAACAAGCCUAGUAACUUACUUACUAUCGAACCAAUUCUGCAGAAACUUUCAGCGCAUUCCAAAUCAGUAUCCUUAACAUCAUCAACAAACUAUAAUGGCUGACCCAAAACGUAUUUCCUCCAAAGCUUAUAGUGGAUUUACAUUUCCCCUACAUCAUCAUAUAGAAUCAAUAUAAUGACUAGUCUAAAGUUUGAUGAAAGUUUGCUCUCAAGAAGUUUGCUGUGCAGCCUGGGAUUGUUUUCAUGCCCUUUCCAUUCCAGUAUUUGUGCAAUUUGGUGCCAAGGGCUUAUGGGAAGACAAAUGACUCAGUGAUUACUUUAACAAUUACUCAGUCAACAGAGUUAAGCUUGGAAGGACAUGAUACCAAAACAUCUUGUUCUGCUCUGUCAAGAACUGUUCAUGUCAGGUGAGAGAUUAAAAAAAGAAAAGAAAAGAAUGAAAUAGUGUCCUCAUGGAAAAGUGUACAAUCUUGCCUUAUAUCCUAGCAAUAAAUAGGGAUAAUUGCUCAGCUCGUUUUGUACACUGAUUUGCUAAACCUUCACUGUAGUCAAAGUGAUGCACGCUGUACACUGCCGCUGUAUUUAGUGUCACUCGGAGCCUCAAACCCCAAGUGACUGCACGUAACCUUCUUCCACUUGUGUUUCACAUUCCCAUCUGCAGCACAGGAUGCUGCUCGACAUGAAAUAUGCAAUGAAUUAUAAAACACAUUAUGUAAUGCAUCCACCGAGUCUGACGCAGACGUUUGUGCAACAGCUAAUUAAGCAGCGUGAUGUGGGGGGAUUGGGCAGAUUUAUCUCUUUCUCUAUGCUCAUUUGCAGAACAUCGGGGAAUAGCAGAAGAAGAGAUGCUCUGAUGAAAGAACAAAAAUAUGCAGGAAAAAAGGUGAAAACAGGGUGAGGGAUACACGCAGAGACAACAUGAGCAGAACGAAUAGUCUGUAAACGCAGAGAUAUUUGCAUGAUCACGCUUAAUAACAGCGCAACAUGAAGAAGCAGAGUGAGAGUUACAAGAGAAAUCACAGACAGAGCAUCUGGAGGAAACAGAUGAAAAUAUAAACAAUCAAUAGCCUCACAGGGCAAGAGAAACUGGAACAGAAAGUAUUCAAUAGUAAAGGAGGGUAUGAACUAGCCUUGAAGCAGCUUGAAGGAGGAAAAGAAUCUGGCUGUCUCACUGCUCUCAUCAACUACAUCCCGAGCCUAAUUGUAAAUCAAUUCACAAUGGCCUUGCCGGGGUGUGUAUUUACACUCUGUAGAUGGCUGGAGCUGAUAAAGUGUAAAGCCAAUUCCUCUCUCUUGAGUCCAAUCUGGUUCAAACAAACGCAUCCUAUAACAGCAAGAGGGUUUUCCUGAGAAUCCAGGUCUUCCAGAGUAACACUGCUUCUCUCUAAAACACCAGGACAAGUGCUGCGUUAUAUCGUCUUCUGAUCCAGUCUCCAAAGCACAAGAUACACAAGUCAUACGUUUUCUUGUCUCCUUGUCCUUCUUUGGUCACUUCUCCUGCUACUGUAUACAAUCCUUCAAUGGCAUUUCUUAAACACUCAAACAUGACCAUAAAUAAUUGUAUGCUAUAAAAAAAAGUGGUUUUUUUUAAAAAAAGAUGAGAAAACAGAUAUCACAGCAAUUUUUGAAAGGAUUCCUGAAUUCACGUUAGUAUUUAUAGAAAACAAUAAAGCACUUUGGGCUACAAAAAAGAGCGAUAAAGAGUCUUAAAUUUCUCCCUUUAGAUAUAUAUGCGAGAGGCAAGCAGGAUGUCAACAACAAAUGCCGGCGCAGUCUGUUGCAAAACGAAAACAUGUACUGAAAGAAUUUGUUAGUACCAUGUUUAGUGUCUUUCCUUUACCUUUUUCUCAAAGACACAAACACCACCAAUGUUGUAGCAGUAAUAAAAUAUCCGAGAGAGAUCUGAUACACACCAUUUACUGUAAUCUACAGUGUGUUCAGCAUUGUUAUACAAGACAGAAUUUUUCUUCGUGUGGAGGAGUACUGGAUGGAACACAACAUGUGAGAAAGCCCCAAGUGUCAUGAAAAGCAGAAGAGCGGAUGUGCCUGCGAUUGUGUGGUGAGUAGAACGGGCCCAAAUUAGAAGGUGUACUCGGAGACUGGCAACGUCGGUUUUAAUGGCUGCUGCCCAGCACACAGAUGGAAUGAAGCAAAACACCUGCCCUCGCUCUUGCCUGACUAAAAUCCAGAUCAGCGCUUCUUUUUUUGUUUGUUUUUUUUUUGCAUUUAAAACAAAUCCUGCACUGCCACACUAUCUGCUUUAGCUGAAGGGUAACAAGAGGCUGAAACCUUGGAGAGCACAGGAAGUGAUUUGGGAAGCUCUUAUAUUCCAGACAUUUCAAAGUGCAUACUUAAAGAGACUAGCUGCGUGCUCUUACAUUUUUCAACCUUUAUUUUUCAUGCACAGAUGAACACACGUACACGUGCAUACUCACAGAGGAAUAAGCAAACAGAGAGCAGAUUGCAGGCUUAGGCACGGAGGUGAGUGUAUGCAGCGUGGGCCGCUGGGAGCACUAGAGACCUGACGCUGGCGGUUCACACUUCCCCAGCCCUCGCACUACUGUGUGUGUGUGUGUGUGUGUGUUUGUGUGUGUGUGUGUGUGUGUCUGCAUAAGCAAAAGCACCAGCAACACCUCCUCUCGCUCAUCCACACUACAUCACACCAUGUGUUUAGAGAAGGGAAAGAGACGCCACUGACAUCACACCACGCAGGUGGCAACCCUCUCACAGGAGGAAAGCAAGAUGAGAUAAAGACUGCCUUCGAGCUGUGCAGCAUUUAAUCAUGUCAGAAUGUAGAAGCUUCCUUUAGAGUACAAAGACACUGUAUUGACAUGAAAAAGUGAGAACGCUUAAUACCUCACUUGUUGUUGGGUUGUUGUUUUGUUUUUUUUGGUUAAAUGGUGUCUGCGUUUGCGCCGCUUCCUGUCGUCACUUUCCUCUACACUUCACUCUUCUUUCCAUCUCAGUUGUGAGGCCUGUAAAAACAUGGCCUUUGAUAAAGAUGAACAUAUUGGCUUGUCUCUUUACCUAAUAUUUUAACCUGCAAUCAAGGAGGGUGAACGAUACCUUCAAGCAGACGGAUGUCACUUUUAUGCAUUUCGAGGCUCAGAGAGAGAGAGAGAGAGAGAGAGAGACCUACUGAAAAGCCUCCAAGAUCAAAGAUGAAGAAGCAAAUGCGAAAAAAAAAACAAGUGUGAGCGCAUACGUUAGUAGCUGGCUUUUUGUAAAAUACCACAGUUCCAAGCAUUGCACUAGUUAGAGAUCUACGGUUACACCUCUUGUCCUUUUCCUUUCAAGAUUAAAAUGGUUGAUUGUGGCUUGAUGUUUGCCACACAAUAAGACUUCCUUAUGCACAUUUAUUAGGUUUUUUUCCCCCUCUUUCUCUCUCACAUUUUCUUUUUCUCUCUCUCUCACCGUCUCAUACUACAACCAACUAACUAAAGUUUGAAAAUGCUUGAUCACCUAGAUCACACAAGAUAAAACAAGACCACUCCUAUGUUAAACAUGACAAUAGAAUACACUGCUUUUGAAUCCCCUAGCUACACGACAAUCUCAGGUCAUGCUUGUGAUUAGCAGGCUGCUCUUAUUAAACCUGUGCAUACAAUAAUUCUUGUCUUUAGGCAGCAAAAAAAAAACCUUCACCAUUCAGAUACCAUGAAAAAAAAAAACUGUGCUAGUUUUUUUUUCUUUUUAUACAAAGGGCCUUUAAGCUCCUGUAUUCCUCACCUACUCCUAGUACUUCAUGUUCAGAAAGAACAAUGAGGUUUAAUAUAAUAUGUGUGCCAUAAUUAAACCUCACCUACCAUUAAUCCAAAUGGUAAAUUGGAGCAGGGCAAAGAUUAGGCAGGUCAUUAUUCACCACAGUCUGUGUGGGAAUGAUACUUUUAAUAAAAAACAUUCCCUACAAGGCUACCGAGUACUCCAAAGAAGACUUUCCUUUUCUUGUGUCUCUGGAUCAUAGAGAGGAACAACUGAGUAUAAUUGGCUUUCUGUUUCAUGCAAUUAAUUAUAAGUAGCUCGUAACACCUCAGGGCAAGGACGUGCAAGACUUUGCCAUUUUAAAAUGCUAAAUUCUACAUGCUAUUUCAUCAUGAAUGUUCAGAGCAACAUAGUAAGUAAUGUAAGCGAAGAAAACAUGUGACCUCAAAAGUAAGCAUUUUUUAAAUAAAAUCAAAAUCACUGGUCCAGGUCAGGACGAGCAACAGAAAAGACGUAUGAACUAAAUCAUCAUACAUCUGUUCAUCCAGAUCCGAGGUCUAUAGCAGGAACACUGGGCACUGGGCAUGAGGCAGGAAUACACUCUAGAUGGGACACCAGUCCAUCACAAAACACUCCAUCAUAAAACAACCUUAACAUACCUUGUGUUCAUGGAGCUCGCUUUGUACACAGGGGCAUUGUCAUGCUGGAACAGGUUUGAACAGGCCUCUUGUAGUUCACAUGAAGGGAAACUGUAAUGCUACAGCAUACAGAGACAUUCUGUACAACUGUGUGCUUCAGACUUCGUGGAAUAGGCCCACAUAUUGUUAUGAUGGUCAGGGAUGCACGUACUUUUGGCUGUAUCAUGUAUAUGUUCUCUGAAUUGUACAGUUAAUGCUGACCUAAUGAUUGUAUCAACCGAAGCACAUCACCCAGCUACAAAGUCAUUAGACUUUCUGCUUCUUUCCCUGCUUAGCAUUAAGGACAGCUGCUGAGGAACAGUGUGAACGCCACUAAUGACAGCACUCUCCAGUUAAUGACGUGGGCCGCCCAGGCAGAAGCAGGAAUCACAGAUACUCAACUCACACAGCCCUUUCAGUGGAGGGCAAACGGGUGGCCCGACUCCUCUAUGUGCUUCACUACAAGCCUUUUCUGCAACUGUCGAUAUACAGUAGGUGACUGCAGUGGUUAAACGAAUAAAUCUUAGAUGUGGAUGUUAGAGACAUGAAUAUGGCUAUGAAACCUGA
ensembl:lncRNA